rnacentral:rRNA from 1 species
GGAUUAGAUACCCCGGUAGUCCAUACCGUAAACGAUGGGUGCUAGUUGUUAAGAGGUUUCCGCCUCCUAGUGACGUAGCAAACGCAUUAAGCACCCCGCCUGAGGAGUACGGCCGCAAGGCUAAAACUUAAAGGAAUUGACGGGGACCCGCACAAGCGGUGGAGCAUGUGGUUUAAUUCGAAGAUACGCGAAAAACCUUACCAGGUCUUGACAUACCAAUGAUCGCUUUUGUAAUGAAAGCUUUUCUUCGGAACAUUGGAUACAGGUGGUGCAUGGUCGUCGUCAGCUCGUGUCGUGAGAUGUUGGGUUAAGUCCCGCAACGAGCGCAACCCUUGUUAUUAGUUGCCAGCAUUUAGUUGGGCACUCUAAUGAGACUGCCGGUGAUAAACCGGAGGAAGGUGGGGACGACGUCAGAUCAUCAUGCCCCUUAUGACCUGGGCAACACACGUGCUACAAUGGGAAGUACAACGAGUCGCAAACCGGCGACGGUAAGCUAAUCUCUUAAAACUUCUCUCAGUUCGGACUGGAGUCUGCAACUCGACUCCACGAAGGCGGAAUCGCUAGUAAUCGCGAAUCAGCAUGUCGCGGUGAAUACGUUCCCGGGUCUUGUACACACCGCCCGUCAAAUCAUGGGAGUCGGAAGUACCCAAAGUCGCUUGGCUAACUUUUAGAGGCCGGUGCCUAAGGUAAAAUCGAUGACUGGGAUUAAGUCGUAACAAGGUAGCCGUAGGAGAACCUGCGGCUGGAUCACCUCCUUUCUAAGGA